GUGCUCUAUUAUGCUUUGAUUUG
rnacentral:siRNA from 1 species